ACUCGAAUAGUAACUCUUUGAGGCUUUCAUACAUGCUUGAAUAUUCAAUUUGUAUUUGUAAGUUUCAGUCGUGUUGAUCGACAUAUAAACGUGCAGGUAUAUACAAAAAAAAAUUGGAAAGUUGAUAGAAAGGUUAUCCAACACAUCGAAAUAAUGUUUUAAUAGAAUGGAAAAUAAUUACAACUGUUGACGUUUCUUAGUAAAAAAACACGGUCUCUGCUUUUACAUAAUCCUAUACAUAGAUUUGUCACCAUGUUGUUUAUGGAUAUACGAUUCUGAAGUCAUCACAAUGCAUUUUGAGGUAACACAUUUACUGAUGUAUAAUACAGCUAUACAG
rnacentral:lncRNA from 1 species